GCUAUUUAGGUUAGAGUUUGAUCAUGGCUCAGAAUCAACGCUGGCGGCGUGCCUAACACAUGCAAGUCGAACGGGCGUAGCAAUACGUCAGUGGCAGACGGGUGAGUAACACGUGGGAACGUACCUUUUGGUUCGGAACAACACAGGGAAACUUGUGCUAAUACCGGAUAAGCCCUUACGGGGAAAGAUUUAUCGCCGAAAGAUCGGCCCGCGUCUGAUUAGCUAGUUGGUAGGGUAACGGCCUACCAAGGCGACGAUCAGUAGCUGGUCUGAGAGGAUGAUCAGCCACAUUGGGACUGAGACACGGCCCAAACUCCUACGGGAGGCAGCAGUGGGGAAUAUUGGACAAUGGGGGCAACCCUGAUCCAGCCAUGCCGCGUGAGUGAUGAAGGCCCUAGGGUUGUAAAGCUCUUUUGUGCGGGAAGAUAAUGACGGUACCGCAAGAAUAAGCCCCGGCUAACUUCGUGCCAGCAGCCGCGGUAAUGUCGGCCC
rnacentral:rRNA from 1 species